GACAGAGGGUGCAAACGUUGUUCGGAAUCACUGGGCGUAAAGGGUGCGUAGGCCGCACGGUAAGUCAGAGGUGAAAUCCCGGAGCUCAACUUCGGAAUUGCCUCCGAUACUGCCGUGCUUGAGGACUGGAGAGGAGAUUGGAAUUCACAGUGGAGCAGUGAAAUGCGUAGAUAUUGUGAGGAACACUAGUGGCGAAGGCGAAUCUCUGGACAGUUCCUGACGCUGAGGCACGAAGGCCAGGGGAGCAAACGGG
rnacentral:rRNA from 1 species